rnacentral:rRNA from 1 species
UACAGAGGGUGCAAGCGUUGUUCGGAAUUACUGGGCGUAAAGCGCACGUAGGCGGAUCUUUAAGUCAGGGGUGAAAUCCUGGAGCUCAACUCCAGAACUGCCUUUGAUACUGAGGACCUUGAGUUCGGGGAGAGGUGAGUGGAACUGCGAGUGUAGAGGUGAAAUUCGUAGAUAUUCGCAAGAACACCAGUGGCGAAGGCGGACUCACUGGCCCGAUACUGACGCUGAGCGCGAAAGCC